rnacentral:rRNA from 1 species
GACGAACGCUGGCGGUGUGCUUAAUACAUGCAAGUCGAACGAUGAGGUCGCUUUCGGGUGACCAUCAGUGGCGGACGGCUGAGUAACGCGUAGGUAACGUGCCUCUUACUGGGGGAUAACACCGGGAAACCGGUGCUAAUACCGCAUAAGUAGCUGGUUGAAAUACCAGCUAUUAAAGAAUUUCGGUAAGAGAUCGGCCUGCGUCUGAUUAGCUAGUUGGUAGGGUAAGAGCCUACCAAGGCGAUGAUCAGUAGUUGGUCUGAGAGGAUGACCAGCCAGAGUGGGACUGAGACACGGCCCACACUUCUACGGAAGGCAGCAGUAGGGAAUUUUGCGCAAUGGGCGAAAGCCUGACGCAGCAACACCGCGUGUAGGAUGAAGGAUUUCGGUUCGUAAACUACUGUCAGCAGGGAAUAUAAUGACUGUACCUGCAGAGGAAGCAUCGGCUAACUACGUGCCAGCAGCCGCGGUAAGACGUAGGAUGCAAGCGUUGUCCGGAAUUAUUGGGCGUAAAGAGUUCGUAGGCGGUUUCUCAAGUCUGGUGUUAAAUACUGGCGCUCAACGCCAGCAUGGCAUUGGAAACUGGGAGACUAGAGUGCGGUAGAGGUCACGGGAAUUCCUGGUGUAGCGGUGAAAUGCGUAGAUAUCAGGAGGAACACCGGUGGCGAAAGCGCGUGACUGGGCCGUAACUGACGCUGAGGAACGAAAGCCAGGGUAGCAAAAGGGAUUAGAUACCCCUGUAGUCCUGGCCGUAAACGAUGGAUACUAGGUGUAGGUGGAUUCGACCCCAUCUGUGCCGUAGCUAACGCGAUAAGUAUCCCGCCUGGGGAGUACGCUCGCAAGAGUGAAACUCAAAGGAAUUGACGGGGGCCCGCACAAGCGGUGGAACAUGUGGUUUAAUUCGAUGCAACGCGAAGAACCUUACCUGGGCUUGACAUCUACGGAACCUGCGUGAAAGCGUGGGGUGCCUUCGGGAGCCGUAAGACAGGUGGUGCACGGUUGUCGUCAGCUCGUGUCGUGAGAUGUUGGGUUAAGUCCCGCAACGAGCGCAACCCUCGUGGUCUGUUGUUACAGGUCGUAAGAUGCUGAACCCUCAGGCCAGACUGCCGGUGACAAACCGGAGGAAGGUGGGGAUGACGUCAAAUCAUCACGCCCCUUAUGUCCAGGGCUACACACGUGUUACAAUGGGUAACGGACAAUGGGCAGCUUGGCAGCGAUGUCUGGCAAAUCCUGAAACCGUCCCUCAGUUCGGAUCGUAGUCUGCAACUCGACUACGUGAAGUCGGAAUCGCUAGUAAACGCAGAUCAGCACGCUGCGUUGAAUACGUUCCCGGGCCUUGUACACACCGCCCGUCACACCACGAAAGAGGGUUAUGCCCGAAGUCGGUGUCCCAACCGUAAGGAGGGAGCCGCCUAAGGUGGAACUCUUGAUUGGGGUG